CCGAGUUUACAACUCCCAACCCCUGUGAACAUACCACUUGUUGCCUCGGCGGAUCAGCCCGCUCCCGGUAAAACGGGACGGCCCGCCAGAGGACCCCUAAACUCUGUUUCUAUAUGUAACUUCUGAGUAAAACCAUAAAUAAAUCA
rnacentral:misc_RNA from 1 species